UGCAAUCCUGUUCACAGAGAAUCAAUCU
rnacentral:piRNA from 1 species